UACGGGGGGGGCAAGCGUUGUUCGGAAUUACCGGGCGUAAAGGGCGCGUAGGCGGCCUUCUAAGUCGAACGUGAAAUCCCCGGGCUCAACCCGGGAACUGCGUCCGAUACUGGAAGGCUUGAGUCCGGGAGAGGGAUGCGGAAUUCCAGGUGUAGCGGUGAAAUGCGUAGAUAUCAGGAGGAACACCGGUGGCGAAGGCGGUUCUCUGGGCAUGACCUGACGCUGAGGAGCGAAAGCAUGGGGAGCGAACAGG
rnacentral:rRNA from 1 species